rnacentral:rRNA from 1 species
UACGUAGGGUGCAAGCGUUGUCCGGAAUUAUUGGGCGUAAAGAGCUCGUAGGCGGUCUGUCGCGUCGGCUGUGAAAACCCGGGGCUCAACCCCGGGCCUGCAGUCGAUACGGGCAGACUAGAGUGCGGUAGGGGAGACUGGAAUUCCUGGUGUAGCGGUGAAAUGCGCAGAUAUCAGGAUGAACACCGGUGGCGAAGGCGGGUCUCUGGGCCGUAACUGACGCUGAGGAGCGAAAGCGUGGGGAGCGAACAGG